AAGAAACAAGGAUUUUUUUUUUAUUUUACUAUAUCGGGUUCGGAUACCAGACUCCACAUACUCCAUUUUCAUUAAAUUUUCAGCAAAAAUACAAGAAAAGGGGUUGUGUGGUAUGUGGAUAGUACAAAUUAGGUUCGUUAUGGUACGGAUAGCAAUAGGUAAAUUCUAAAUGGGUUAUGUGAUGGGUUUGGCUAGUUUAUAUCUAAUAGGGUUCAGGUUUGUGCAGCGUUAUUUUCAUAGGUACCCUAUCCGUUUGACAUCCCUAGGGGCAAUAAGUCACUUAACUCAUAAUGGUUCUAAGAAUCAAAAUAAGGCUAGGUUGAGAAGUGAUUUUCUAGAGGAAGUCAUUGAAUUGCAGAACUUAACUGCAUGGUGUUUCAUGUUCAAUUCUUCUUCAUAAAUACCUUAACCUGGAUUUUUGCAUUGUCUUCCAUCAGAGACGGAGAUUGACAUAAUUAUGUUAUUUCGCGUCACUAAGUGAAUGUGUGUUGUUGUCUUCAGGUUGAGGUCUAUAAUUAUUUCGGUUUGUCCAAUCUUUACUUGAUAAGAAUUCAGCAUACUCUUUCAUUUUUUCAAUUGAAAUUAGUCGAAUUCAUCAAAACUAUAUAAUUGUCCAUUUUGCUUUUCAUUAUUUAUUUAUUCCCUUUCUUGGUUUUUAAGCUUCUUUUAAUGCCAAUCUAUCAAAG
rnacentral:misc_RNA from 1 species